ACGCUUCCACUGUCCGCCGUGAUGCACCACCUGGCCAGAAGGUUGGUCUCAUUGCUGCCAGGAGGACUGGUCGUCUCAGAGGCCAGGCUGCUGCCUCUGCUGCCAAGGCCGACAAGGCCACUUAGAGCUAUCGUUGCUGUUUAUCUAUGUUUGCUGCCUCUAGAUUACCCGUCAAGGACAUGUAUUGCAGUAUGGAUGUCGUUUUUGCUCACUUUGGUAACCUGGUGAUGUUUGUUAUCAGUUUUCGCUGUCGUGGUCUGGAUUCUUCGGUCCACAUAAAGAAGAUUAUGCAUGGAUAUUUGUUUGUCGAGUUGCUUGAGUUAGCCCCUGGCGCUUAUUUUUGUUUACUGUUUUAGUUUAGCUAUAUUGCUGGAUCUCUAAACGUAGUUUUGUUUGGUCGAAUCAAACAGUUGUAUGUUUGCUUCUAUCUCGUGGUUCUUUGGAAUUUUAACCUUAGAGCCUCUCCAAUAGGUGAGUUAGAUGUAUAUAUAAAAAUGCCUGAUUUUUA
rnacentral:lncRNA from 1 species